AAGGAAUAUUGGGCAAUGGACGCAAGUCUGACCCAGCCAUGCCGCGUGAAGGAUGACUGUCCUAUGGAUUGUAAACUUCUUUUAUGCAGGAAAAAUAGCCUGGUCGAGCACCGGGUAUGAUGGUACUGUAUGAAUAAGCAUCGGCUAACUCCGUGCCAGCAGCCGCGGUAAUACGGAGGAUGCAAGCGUUAUCCGGAUUCAUUGGGUUUAAAGGGUGCGCAGGCGGAAUUAUAAGUCAGUGGUGAAAUCUCCCAGCUUAACUGGGAAACUGCCAUUGAUACUGUUAUUCUUGAGUACAGUUGAAGUGGGCGGAAUGUGUCAUGUAGCGGUGAAAUGCUUAGAUAUGACACAGAACACCGAUAGCGAAGGCAGCUCACUAAGCUGUAACUGACGCUCAUGCACGAAAGCGUGGGGAUCAAAC
rnacentral:rRNA from 1 species